rnacentral:rRNA from 1 species
AUACGUAGGGGGCGAGCGUUGUCCGGAAUGAUUGGGCGUAAAGGGCGCGUGGGCGGCCCGGUAAGUCUGGAGUGAAAGUCCUGUUUUUAAGAUGGGAAUUGCUUUGGAUACUGUCGGGCUUGAGUGCAGGAGAGGUAAGUGGAAUUCCCAGUGUAGCGGUGAAAUGCGUAGAGAUUGGGAGGAACACCAGUGGCGAAGGCGACUUACUGGACUGUAACUGACGCUGAGGCGCGAAAGUGUGGGGAGCAAACAGGAUUAGAUACCCUGGUAGUCCACGCGGUAAACGAUGAAUGCUAGGUGUUGCGGGUAUCGGCCCCUGCAGUGCCGGAGUAAACACAAUAAGCAUUCCGCCUGGGGAGUACGGCCGCAAGGUUGAAACUCAAAGGAAUUGACGGG